rnacentral:tRNA from 1 species
GCAUCCUUAGCUCUGUGAUAGAGCACUUGUCUCGUAAACCAGGGGUCGUGAGAUCGAUCCUCACUGGGGGCA